UNUGAAGUUAAAGGCUGUGGCUCAACCAUAGUACGCUUUGGAAACUGUCAAACUUGAGUGCAGAAGGGGAGAGUGGAAUUCCAUGUGUAGCGGUGAAAUGCGUAGAUAUAUGGAGGAACACCGGUGGCGAAAGCGGCUCUCUGGUCUGUAACUGACGCUGAGGCUCGAAAGCGUGGGGAGCGAACAGGAUUAGAUACCCUGGUAGUCCACGCCGUAAACGAUGAGUGCUAGGUGUUGGAUCCUUUCCGGGAUUCAGUGCCGCAGCUAACGCAUUAAGCACUCCGCCUGGGGAGUACGACCGCAAGGUUGAAACUCAAAGGAAUUGACGGGGGCCCGCACAAGCGGUGGAGCAUGUGGUUUAAUUCGAAGCAACGCGAAGAACCUUACCAGGUCUUGACAUCCCGAUGCUAUUUCUAGAGAUAGGAAGUUACUUCGGUACAUCGGUGACAGGUGGUGCAUGGUUGUCGUCAGCUCGUGUCGUGAGAUGUUGGGUUAAGUCCCGCAACGAACGCAACCCCUAUUGUUAGUUGCCAUCAUUCAGUUGGGCACUCUAGCAAGACUGCCGGUAAUAAACCGGAGGAAGGUGGGGAUGACGUCAAAUCAUCAUGCCCCUUAUGACCUGGGCUACACACGUGCUACAAUGGUUGGUGCAACGAGUUGCGAGUCGGUGACGGCGAGCUAAUCUCUUAAAGCCAAUCUCAGUUCGGAUUGUAGGCUGCAACUCGCCUACAUGAAGUCGGAAUCGCUAGUAAUUGCGGAUCAGCACGCCGCGGUGAAUACGUUCCCGGGCCUUGUACACACCGCCCGUCACACCACGAGAGUUUGUAACACCCGAAGUCGGUGAGGUAACCUU
rnacentral:rRNA from 1 species